rnacentral:rRNA from 1 species
UGGAUUUGUGCCUUCGGGAACCGUGAGACAGGUGCUGCAUGGCUGUCGUCAGCUCGUGUUGUGAAAUGUUGGGUUAAGUCCCGCAACGAGCGCAACCCUUAUCCUUUGUUGCCAGCGAUUCGGUCGGGAACUCAAAGGAGACUGCCAGUGAUAAACUGGAGGAAGGUGGGGAUGACGUCAAGUCAUCAUGGCCCUUACGACCAGGGCUACACACGUGCUACAAUGGCGCAUACAAAGAGAAGCGACCUCGCGAGAGCAAGCGGACCUCAUAAAGUGCGUCGUAGUCCGGAUUGGAGUCUGCAACUCGACUCCAUGAAGUCGGAAUCGCUAGUAAUCGUGGAUCAGAAUGCCACGGUGAAUACGUUCCCGGGCCUUGUACACACCGCCCGUCACACCAUGGGAGUGGGUUGCAAAAGAAGUAGGUAGCUUAACCUUCGGGAGGGCGCUUACCACUUUGUGAUUCAUGACUGGGGUGAAGUCGUAACAAGGUAACCGUAGGGGAACCUGCGGUUGGAUCACCUCCUUA